rnacentral:tRNA from 1 species
UGGGAAGUGGCUCAGUGGUAGAGUGCCUGCCUCACAUGCAUGAGGCUCUGGGUUCAAUUCCUCAGUCCCAC